GUUGUUGUACCUGCUUACAGCUCAUCUGCUGCAUUCCUACUUGAGGGUCCCCAGGCUGCGGCUUGCUUAGAUCUGGAAUUGCCAUCCAGCAUAUGGCUGCCCUCACCUGCUCCAAUCCAUAUAUAUACAUCUGCAGUGUGAUGUUAAAAGUGUUGGGGCUAAAAUCAAGGUGGUGAAGGACCUCCUCGGCAGAACGAAAUCACAGCAUCCUCAGGAGGGUGAUGGCAUGUGGUAAGAAGCUCUGGACAGGACCAGGAGGAGAGGCCAGGGCUGGAGCAAGUCUGUAUCCUGCUGCAGCCCCGUUGCCCCCACGCUGUGUCCUGUUGCACCCUGGAGGAAGCAGAAUGGUGCUUGUGCUGCUUCAGGAAUAAGUGUGACCGUAUGGCGGUGUCAUUCCCUCACCAGGUGGUGGCAUGCAGUGGUGACAUUCCCUAACUGCCCGCAGUGGAUCUAGCACACAAGUCCAAGAGCCCACAAGUCCAAGAGAGUUCACAGAGCGCUUCUCCACCCUGCUUUGGUGCAGGUUCCUGAGCCAAUAUCGCUGUGCCAUGUACUGCUCUUUGGAUGUACAAGCUCUCCUAAGGUCAAUACAGCCCGGAUGCAAUGCCAGGUCUAAGAUCAUCAGAAAAGGUAAGUUACUUAAUUUUUCCAUUGAAAAAAUGGGAAUUGAGCUUGAAAUUGUUCAAGCUCCUUCCUCCUCUUGUUUUGCCUUGCACUUAACACCUUCAGAACUGAAGAUGAGGACCAUGCAGGCCUGCAGAGGACUCAGGUGUCCUCUGUGUACCCCUCCUCCAUCCCCAGGUGGGUUCUCCUGUGCCAGGUGAUGUUUGGGUUCAGCAGGUGCUGUCACUGCCUCCAGCCCAGCAUGGACAUGCACAGGGCAAGUCCCUUGUCCACAGCAGGGCUCAGGCCAUCCAAGAGAGCUGCCUAUCAGCAAUGACUUUUACUUAACCUAGGAGGCCCCCACAUCCCCUUUAAGCUGUUUUCAACCGUGUCUCUGAGUGUGUAAUGUGCUCCGUAAACAAAUAACCUGUGUUUUUGUAACUGGGUCAGCAGGAGCUGAGUUGUACUUCCAGCACAGGACACGGGGAGGAAGUGGUGGGACCAGGAGCAGAAGGGGAGACAGCAGCAGCCUCAGACCCAGGGGACUGUGAGGAAGCAAAAUAGGGAUUGCUGCCAGAACAAAUGCAGAGCCCUUCGGGAAACCAUCCCAAGGUUGGAGAACAAGGAGGGACGGGAAGGCACAAGUAAUGGGAGACCUUCAUGGGAGCUGUUUGUCAUGGGGCAGGUAGCUCCAGCAAGGCUCUGCCCCUACUUCCAGGUGGCACAUUGCCGUCUUGCUCUGUUAUCGUACCUCUGAGGAGGUUGCCUCCAGACACUGAACCCAGAGCCUCUGGAAAGUAAAAAGCAUGAUGAAGUAUUGCCAAAAUGAGUGGGGAAAAAAAAAGGUGCAUUUGCCUGAAAAUAACAGCAACUUUGUACAUCUCCAUAUGUGGUCCAACUUUGGGGCUGGAAUGAGGAUCCUCAGAAGUAUUUAUGUGGCGAAAGGUCCAUGAGGUCUCAUCAAGGCACAGCGUUGUGUUAGAGAGAGCAAUAUCUGGGAAUAUUCCUGGGCCUGUUUCCUCCCAGGUUGAUUUGCCAGAGUUUAUGGCACUCUGACUUGUUUUUUAAAUCUUACCUUUCAGAUUUAAAUCAUCACUAAAUUUAACUGUGAUUAAAAAAAAAAGGCACAUCUCAACUUCUAUUUACUUAAAAAUGAAUAAAAAAAAGUCUUAUUUUCA
rnacentral:lncRNA from 1 species